rnacentral:rRNA from 1 species
CCUACGGGUGGCAGCAGUAGGGAAUAUUGCUCAAUGGGGGAAACCCUGAAGCAGCAACGCCGCGUGGAGGAUGAAGGUUUUCGGAGUGUAAACUCCUUUUGGUAGAGAAGAAAAUGACGGUACCUAAAGAAUAAGCACCGGCUAACUCCGUGCCAGCAGCCGCGGUAAUACGGAGGGUGCAAGCGUUACCCGGAAUCACUGGGCGUAAAGGGGGCGUAGGCGGGAUAGCAAGUCAGAUGGGAAAUCAUAGGGCUUAACCAUAGAAUUGCAUUUGAAACUGUUAUUCUAGAGUAUAGGAGAGGUAGGUGGAAUACUUGGUGUAGGGGUGAAAUGCGUAGAGAUCAAGAGGAACACCGAUAGCGAAGGCGACCUGCUAGAACAUAACUGACGCUGAUGCGCGAAAGCGUGGGGAGCAAACAGGAUUAGAUACCCUUGUAGUC